ensembl:lncRNA
AUGCAAUCCCAAUCAAAAACGGAAGCCUUACCUGAUGGCAGAAAAGGCAGUUGCAGGAGCAGCAGCAGGGACGGCCGCAGCAGGGUGCCAACAGCCCAGCCUUGCGCGGAAGAAGGUUCUCCAGGCCGGGCAGCCAGUAGACACCACUUUCUUCCUGGAAGAGGCUGCCUCUCUUCUCAGAAACGCCUGGACCCCUCUCUGUGGCUCCCUCCACAUUUACCCUUCAGAUCAAUAAUGCUUUCGGAGCGGCUGGAGCUCAACUGCAGCGGCGAGCGGCGAGCCAAUGGGGGCCCAGGAUUCCCUCCUGUCAUCUCCCCGCCCUCAAAACAAAACACAGCGUGCCUUUGACACAUCAUUGAGUUGUGAAAAGUAAUUGAAUCCUAUAUUCGAAAUGUAUCUUGUUUGUUCUUUUUCCCCCCUAGCGUUCAUUGUAGAAUGCUUUGAAUGAAUCCGAGGACUCCUUAGCUCUCAGAAGACUCAUUAAAGGAGCUAGCGGAGAGUGAAGAUUAGGCGCUGAGAAAGUGAUAGCACCUGGGUUAGCAUCUGAAGCUUUGCUUUUUAAAUGCUUGAGGUCUAUCGCAUAUCAGAGAACUGUCAACUGGGAGGAAAAAGUCGUGGGUUCUAUUAGUCUUUCCGCCACUAAGUCGCUUGAGUCUUUUAUUUUGUGAAUCAAGACAAUUAAUUACGUUUACCUGGAAGCUGUUUCAUUGUUUAAUUGUCUAAACGAGAAUCAGAUGCUUAUUGUGGUAAUAACCAUGUGCAAGCAAUUUCUCCUAAUCCAUUUACUUGUUUCUAGGCUGAUUUAACUUGGUUCAGAUUCUAUGAAGAAGUAAAGAUUGUUAAGACUAUAUAUAUUAGUCUGGUCUGUUUUAAUUUUGUCGUGUUUAAAUAUUGUAAGAUUUUAAAAUUAAUGUUAACUUCUCUUUAUGAGAGAAUUUAUUAAUAAUUACAUAAAACUUUAUAGAAUAUUAUAAUGGCAAUAAAAUAUUACAAUGAAAAGUAUAAUUGUUGAAAACCUAUUCCUCCAAAAGCCACAAAACAACUUUACAUUCUUUAACCAUGAUUAUAUUCCUUGGUGUUUCACUAUUAAAAUGCUAAUUAUUGAAUAAACAUUUGCUUAAAUAUAUUCACCAAGAAUUGUGUAUUUUCUAAGAAUCUCAGUCAUUUUAUUAUUUAGACAUCAAGAAUGCCACAAUAUUUCAGGUAAUCAUUUAAUUUUGUUCUAUAAAAAAUCUCGAGUACAGAGUCUCAAUACAGUUUUAAAAAUAUGUCUAUGUACAGUAGGAUUGGUAGCUCAAAUUGCACAAAUAAUAAUGUCUUUUCAAUGCUAGUGUGGAAAAAGAAUAAAAUUAUUGUGACUGUCUGAAAUCUUUUUGUUUCACUGAAUGCAAAUGGGUUGAUGUAGUUGGUGUAGCCAAGCUUUGUGUAUCGUGACAAAUUGAAAUGGCUUGGGGAGACUUUACAAACAAAACAAUUUCGUGACCUGUCUAUCAUGUGAAAGGAGGCAUGGAAAAAUGUAAUAUUUAUACACUGUAUGCUGUGUCGCUAUAACAAGGUGAAUGCUAACUUUAUUGUAACUCAUUUAUGUAGCCAAUAAAAUUUCAUUCAGGGCAGUCUCUGGCUAAGUUUGGUCACCUGGAUUUUGUGAAGAAAAGAAUAUGCUGAUGAAAAAAUGAACCAUAAACAUUGCUUUUCCCUCAAUUGUAUAGUAUAUUUUUCAUUUAUUUAAAUUCCUUUUUUGAUCACAAAUAAUAGGUCAUUGGCUACAGAACACUGUCUUUGUUCUACAGGUCAAGAGUUCUCAAUGUGUGGUCCCCGGACCAGUAGCAAGAACAUCACCUGGGAACUUAUUGAAAAGACAAGUUCUCAAGCCCUUCCCUAGCCUAUCAAAUCAGAAACUUUAAGAGAGUAGGACCCUGCAAUCUAUGCUUUAAUAUCCCUCUGGAUGCUUCCAAUGCACACUCAGGUUGGACAGUCAUUGCUCUAGCUAAGGGGUCUACAAACUACAACAGAAGACCAGCCAGCUGCUUUUGUAAACAAAGACUUACUGAAAUCCAGUGUUGCCGAUUUUUUAUGUAUUGUCCAUGACCGCUUUUGCAUUACAAUGGUAGAGUCGAGAAGUAGUCACAGAGAAUUACAACAUGAAGCCUAAAAUGUUUGCUAUCUGUCAUUUAAAAGAUAAAUGUUUUGACCCCUCCUGGGGCACUAUAAGAUGUGCAAUAUUAGUACAAAUGGCAAAAGUUGGAGAAAAAAGAGCAUCUGAAAGUGGAGUGGAGAAGAUCAAAUUAACGAAAUCAGUGAGAUUUGAAAGAGAUUGAAAAUGACCAUGUAAUAAAUUACAUUGGUGUGCGUGUUUUGCAGAUUUUUGCUGCUCUCCCUGUAGGAGGGAUGCACUUCUCUGCAGUCUUGGUAUCUGAUUUAGUAUGAAAUAUGAAUGGAAAACAAUAUUGCCAUUUCCAAACAGAAUAUUGAAGAACAAAUAUAAAUUUGUGCGCACUUUAUCAGCAUGGGUUGUUGAAAGAAGAGAAUACUGGAGUCUUAUUCAUCCCUAGAUGGACAUGUAGUAUGGCAGGAUAAAAUAGCUUUUAGUUCUACACCAC